rnacentral:rRNA from 1 species
UACAGAGGCCUCGAGCGUUAGGCGGAAUCACUGGGCUUAAAGCGUGUGUAGGCGGAGUUCUAAGUACCUUUGUGAAAUCCCACGGCUCAACCGUGGAACUGCUUGGUAUACUGGUUCUCUUGAGGUACCUAGGGGCGAGCGGAACAAGUGGUGGAGCGGUGAAAUGCGUAGAUAUCACUUGGAACGCCAACGGUGAAAACAGCUCGC